GAAAAUAAAACUCUUGCAAAUACUAACUUGUAAUCCAUAAAACAAGGGGAAUUGCAGACCCCAAAAUACUCAGUACUUGUAGUCCUUGACGUGAAGGCUCUCAGAGGCACCCUCAACCAAAGUGCUGCUGCCCUGGUACUUCCCAAGGGUUGCCUCAGAGUUGGCCUUGCAUCUGGUAAGGAAUGCCUCUUGAGCUGCUUUCACGUUUUCUUCUUUUCCUCCCCAAGCCUUAAGAGUGCUCUGCUGAAGAGCCCUUCCAAAGGAGAAAGACAGGCUCCAUGGCUUCUUCGUCUGAAGCUUGUUCAUGGCAUUGAGGUUGACAGUUGCCUGCUCCUCACUCUGGCCACCAGACAAAAACACAACUGCAGGAACAGCAGGAGGCAUAGUUCGCUGAAGGGCACGAACAGUGUACUCAGCAAUCACCUCGGGGGUAACCUUUUCAGCAUCGGAACCUGGGGUAACCAUGUUGGGUUUCAAGAGAGUUCCUUCAAGCAGGACUUUGUGAUCAUUGAGUGCCUUGUAGCAAGCAGCAAGUACACGUUCGGUCACAUCAGCACACUUGUUAAUAUCAUGAGGUCCAUCGACCAAAAUCUCAGGCUCAACAAUUGGCACCAAGCCAUUCUCCUGGCAGAUUAUGGCAUAACGAGCCAAACCAUUGGCAUUCUCAUUGAUAGCCAGCUGAGAGGGCUCAUUAGGACCAAUCUUCAGCACUGCACGCCAUUUUGCAAACCUGGCACCAGCUUCAUAGUACUUAGCACAACGAGCACCAAGACCGUCAAGACCCUGGGUAGUUGUCUCACCAUUAGUU
rnacentral:lncRNA from 1 species